GAUGAACGCUGGCGGCGUGCCUAAUACAUGCAAGUCGAGCGAACAGACGAGGAGCUUGCUCCUCUGACGUUAGCGGCGGACGGGUGAGUAACACGUGGAUAACCUACCUAUAAGACUGGGAUAACUUCGGGAAACCGGAGCUAAUACCGGAUAAUAUAUUGAACCGCAUGGUUCAAUAGUGAAAGACGGUUUUGCUGUCACUUAUAGAUGGAUCCGCGCCGCAUUAGCUAGUUGGUAAGGUAACGGCUUACCAAGGCAACGAUGCGUAGCCGACCUGAGAGGUGGGGCCGCCCACCUGGGAACGAGACCAGGGCCAGGACCCUACGGGAGGCAGCAAGAAGGCAGCUUCCCGAAAGGGCGAAAGGUUGAACGAACCAAGGCGGGGGGAGGAUGAAAGGUCUAGGGUCCUAAAAACUGUUUUAGAGGGAAAAACAAAAUUGUAAAGUAACUCUCCACUCCUGCAGGUACCCUAAUAAGAAGCCCACGCCUAACUCGGGC
rnacentral:rRNA from 1 species